rnacentral:rRNA from 1 species
UACGGGGGGGGCAAGCGUUGUUCGGAAUUACUGGGCGUAAAGGGCUCGUAGGCGGCCAACUAAGUCAUACGUGAAAUCCCUCGGCUUAACCGGGGAACUGCGUCUGAUACUGGAUGGCUUGAGUUCGGGAGAGGGAUGCGGAAUUCCAGGUGUAGCGGUGAAAUGCGUAGAUAUCUGGAGGAACACCGGUGGCGAAGGCGGCUUCCUGGACCGACACUGACGCUGAGGCGCGAAAGCUAGGGGAGCAAACGGG